rnacentral:rRNA from 1 species
UAACAAGGAUUCCCCUAGUAACUGCGAGUGAAGCGGGAAGAGCUCAAAUUUUGAAUCUGGCAGUCUUUGGCUGUCCGAGUUGUAAUCUAGAGAAGUGUUUUCCGCGCUGGACCGUGUAAAAGUCUCCUGGAAGGGAGCGUCAUAGAGGGUGAGAAUCCCGUCUCUGACACGGACUACCAGUGCUAUGUGAUGCGCUCUCAACGAGUCGAGUUGUUUGGGAAUGCAGCUCAAAAUGGGUGGUAAAUUCCAUCUAAAGCUAAAUACAGGCGAGAGACCGAUAGCGAACAAGUACCGUGAGGGAAAGAUGAAAAGAACUUUGGAAAGAGAGUUAAACAGUACGUGAAAUUGCUGAAAGGGAAACGCUUGAUGUCAGUCACAUCAACUAGGGAUCAACCUUGCUUUGUGGCUGGGUGCAUUUCCUGGUCGAUGGGUCAGCAUCAGUUUUGGUUGCUGUACAAUGAUAAAGGGAAUGUGGCACUCUUUGGAGUGUGUUAUAGCCUUUCAUCGUAUGCAGUGGUCGGAACUGAGGAACUCGGCACGACUUCCGGGUUUGUGUCUAGGAUGCUGGCAUAAUGGCCUUAAGCGACCCGUCUUGAAACACGGACCAAGGAGUCUAACAUGCCUGCGAGUGUUUGGGUGGUAAACCCGGGUGCGUAAUGAAAGUGAAAGUCGAGACCUCUGUCAUGGAGGGCACCGACGCCCGGACCUGAGUCUUUGACGACGGAUCUGCGGUAGAGCAUGUAUGUUGGGACCCGAAAGAUGGUGAACUAUGCCUGAAUAGGGUGAAGCCAGAGGAAACUCUGGUGGAGGCUCGUAGCGAUUCUGACGUGCAAAUCGAUCGUCGAAUUUGGGUAUAGGGG